GUCUACGACCAUACCACAAUGAACACACCGGUUCUCGUCCGAUCACCGAAGUUAAGCAUUGUCGGGCCAGGAUAGUACCUGGAUGGGGGACCGCCUGGGAACGCCUGGUGUCGUAGACUU
rnacentral:rRNA from 1 species